rnacentral:lncRNA from 1 species
UACUAAGCUUCCGGGUAGGCUGACUAGCUAACUUUGGCAUUGAAAGUUCGCUAGGCCGGACAGAUCGUCGUGUUUGAGUUACGGUCUCGUCACACUAGUAACUGGAUCUACAACCAUUAACCAUUAUGUUUCCAAUGGAAAAGCUAUGAACUGUUGCUAGGGAUGGCAAUGGGACGGGCAGGUUCUGUUUUAAUCCACGAAAUUUCAACCCGCCCCGCAUAGCCUGUUCACCCGCAUCCACCCGCCCCGCAACAUUACAUCCGCUCCUUGCUAAUUAGUAUGGCCUGCAGGAAGUCAAGCAUGCCUAGAAAAGAGGUUCUCUUAGAACUCUCCCUUUUCUUAUAAUGUUCUUAAUACUCUACCUCUUACCAGGGGCAGUCUUAUAAUGUUCUUAAUACUCUACCUCUUAUCAGUGGUAUUCAGUGGUUUAACGAAAUUAUCAUUAUCUUCAACAUAUGUGACUAGUUUGUGAUUUUCUAUGGUUUUUAGCUAGUAACGGUGAAUCUUUAUCUUUUGCCUAGUUUGAUCAUUGAUUGGGUAAUCAAGAUUUUUAGGUGGUCGAGCUAAAAAAAUAAAGAAAAAGAAAAAAGACGGAGAGGCAAAGCAGUUACAGAGGGAGGGGUGAUUUUUUUUAACCGCUGUAUCUACAACCUUUAAUUUCCAAUGGAAAAGCUAUGAAUUGUUAGCUCUCCAAGUCUCCAUUACCCACACAACUCACAGUCUCCACCUGCACAAAAUAUUGCCGACUUUAAACCUUUUUUGCAUCCUUUGAAUCAAAGUAGCUCUUUGUUCCCUUCCUUUUUUAGUUUCAUUUCUAUCUAACAAGAAUAUUUUAUUCCUUAUGUUAUUAGUUUUUAACCAGGUUCAGUAUCUCUGAAUCUCUGGUUGGUCACUUCCAUGCCCUUCUUGAGCCAUUAACUGAUUAGACAUACUAAAGAAAAGCUAACCACAGAAUUAUGUCUUCUAAUUUAACUGACAAGUUCCUGAGUAUGAUCUUUGUUAUCUUGAGAAAUCUGUACUGUGUUAUCUCUUGGAUUUCACCUGAAGCUAGAAACAAUAUGUAUAUUCUUAUUGCAGUGUUAUUGCUUCAACUGGUCAUGGAAUAAGUAAUUUUCAUGUAAUUGUUUGCGUUAUAGAUUCACUGCAACUAUGUUAUGGAGUUACAUCAAGUUCUGAUUUCCCUUCAAUUUCAGUUGCAUAUGAUACUGGCUAUUUGAUGAAUAAUGAUGCAACUAUUAAGUCUUCAUAAGUUCUCCAAUGUCGUUUUGCUUUUCUUUCCGUUGGGCAGUUGCUGGUCGCAGGUGGUGGUAUGUAUGUCGAGGUCUUCAAUCGAGGGGUUAUUCCACUUGCAUACAGCAUUAGGAAAAAAAAUAAAGCUGGAGAGACAAAUACAUACUUGGACGGUAUCUACCUCUUGUUCACUUAUUUUACUAAACCUGAAUCCAUUGCAGCCCUUGAGGUAACAAUGGUGGCUGAUGAUGAUGUUAUCCGAACGUCCACUUUCAAGAUUAGGAAAAGGAAAUACUAGUUUAAUUAGUUAGUUUAAUUUGCAUUUGUUCAGCUGUAAAAGACUAUAACAGGGGGGAGGCAGGUUUUCCUCAUCUCACCUCUCCUACGUUUUCAAACCUGAAUCCAUUGCAGCCCUUGAGGCAACAAUGGUGGCUGAUGAUGAUGUUAUCCGAACGUCCACUUUCAAGAUUAGGAAAAGGAAAUACUAGUUUAAUUAGUUAGUUUAAUUUGCAUUUGUUCAGCUGUAAAAGACUAUAACAGGGGGGAGGCAGGUUUUCCUCAUCUCACCUCUCCUACGUUUUAGUCUUUUUCAAAGCAAAACAGUACCUUUUUGUAAUAUUUUUUUAUAUUACUGGAGUUGCCAUUACAUUCUGCUUUAGUAUCCUCCAAUUUGGCUGAAAUAUAAUAGUAGAGCAUUAUUGAGCACUUGAUAGUCCUGUAUAAAGAUGAUCAUUGAUUUUUACUUUUCUAGUCUCUUUAGUUGUCAGGUCAGAUUACCAUUUCUCUUUAUUAUUGAAUUUAAAUCCAUUUGUGUCUUAACCAUGGUGUCGAGGUCAACUUGUAUGCUCCUCGACUUAGGGCAUCUGCUACCUCUCACCAACAUAGGUACUAGAUAAUUUUGUCCACCACAUUUUAAACACGAGAAGGCGGAUUAACGUAGUCUACUCUCCUCUUUUUCUUCCCCUGUCAACUGGUCUCCCGGAAACAACUUCUCUGUUCUUUCGGGGUAGCGGGGUAAGGUUUGCCUACACUGUUUUGGCUAACAAUUGCUAUCAUUCGGUUUAGGAGUUUGUUAUUAGCUUCCUAUUUUCUAGGUUUAGGAUUUUGUUAGUUUCGUGUAUUCUAGUGUAUCCUACUGCACAUAAUCUUAUCAUAUCAGUUUGUUCCACCUUUAAUGUAUUUCUGUUUGUAUCCGCUCUAUAUAAAGGGCCCGUUGUUCAUGAAUAAAAUUAUUUUUUCUCUGGUGCA